GAUGAACGCUGGCGGCGUGCCUAAUACAUGCAAGUCGAGCGAACAGACGAGGAGCUUGCUCCUCUGACGUUAGCCGCGGACGGGUGAGUAACACGUGGAUAACCUACCUAUAAGACUGGGAUAACUUCGGGAAACCGGAGCUAAUACCGGAUAAUAUAUUGAACCGCAUGGUUCAAUAGUGAAAGACGGUUUUGCUGUCACUUAUAGAUGGAUCCGCGCCGCAUUAGCUAGUUGGUAAGGUAACGGCUUACCAAGGCAACGAUGCGUAGCCGACCUGAGAGUGUGAUCGGCCACACUGGAACUGAGACACGGUCCAGACUCCUACGGGAGGCAGCAGUAGGGACCCUUCCGCAAUGGGCGAAAGCUUGACGGAGCAACGCCGCGUGAGUGAUGAAGGUCUUCGGAUCGUAAAACUCUGUUAUUAGGGAAGAACAAAUGUGUAAGUAACUAUGCACGUCUUGACGGUACCUAAUCAGAAAGCCACGGCUAACUACGUG
rnacentral:rRNA from 1 species